rnacentral:rRNA from 1 species
GAUGAACGCUGGCGGCGUGCCUAAUACAUGCAAGUCGAGCGAACGGACGCGAAGCUUGCUUCUCUGAUGUUAGCGGCGGACGGGUGAGUCACGCGUGUAUACCCUCCCUAUCAGUCUGAGAUAACUUCGGGACACCGGAGCUAAUACCGGAUGAUAUUUUGCACCGUAUGGUUCAAAAGUGAAAGACGGUCUUGCUGUAACUUAUCGCUGGUUCCGCGCUGCAUUAGCUAGUUGGUAAGGUAACGGCUUUCCAGGGCAACGAUGCAUAGCCGACCUGAGGGGGUGAUCGGCGACACGGGAACGUGGACACGGUCCAUGCUCCUGCGAGAGGCAGCAGUAGGGUAUCUUACGCAAUGGGCGAAAGCCUGACGGAGCAGCGCGGCGUGAGUGAUGAAGGUGUUCGGAGCGUAAAACUCUGUUAUUAGGGAAGAACAGAUGUGUAAGUAACUGUGCACAUCUUGACGGUAACUAAUCAGAAAGCCACGGCUAACUACGUG